UACGGGGGGGGUAAGCGUUGUUCGGAAUUACUGGGCGUAAAGGGCUCGUAGGCGGCCAACUAAGUCAGACGUGAAAUCCCUCAGCUUAACUGGGGACUGCGUCUGAUACUGGAUGGCUUGGAUUCGGGAGAGGAAUGCGGAAUUCCAGGUGUAGCGGUGAAAUGCGUAGAUAUCUGGAGGAACACCGGUGGCGAAGGCGGCAUUCUGGACCGACAUUGACGCUGAGGAGCGAAAGCCAGGGGAGCAAACGGG
rnacentral:rRNA from 1 species